GGCGGAGGAUGCAAGUGUUAUCCGGAAUCACUGGGCGUAAAGCGUCUGUAGGUGGUCAAAUAAGUCAACUGUUAAAUCUUGAGGCUCAACCUCAAAACCGCAGUCGAAACUAUUAGACUAGAGUAUAGUAGGGGUAAAGGGAAUUUCCAGUGGAGCGGUGAAAUGCGUAGAGAUUGGAAAGAACACCGAUGGCGAAGGCACUUUACUGGGCUAUUACUAACACUCAGAGACGAAAGCUAGGGUAGCAAAUGGG
rnacentral:rRNA from 1 species